CAUGUGAUAGCAUAAAUCUUUCGCCUUUUACUAAAGAUUUCCGUG
ensembl:snRNA U5 U5 spliceosomal RNA